rnacentral:rRNA from 1 species
GACGAACGCUGGCGGCGUGCUUAACACAUGCAAGUCGAACGGAAAGGCCCUGCUUUUGUGGGAGCUCGAGUGGCGAACGGGUGAGUAACACGUGAGUAACCUGCCCUUGACUUUGGGAUAACUUCAGGAAACUGGGGCUAAUACCGGAUAGGAGCUCCUGCUGCAUGGUGGGGGUUGGAAAGUUUCGGCGGUUGGGGAUGGACUCGCGGCUUAUCAGCUUGUUGGUGGGGUAGUGGCUUACCAAGGCUUUGACGGGUAGCCGGCCUGAGAGGGUGACCGGCCACAUUGGGACUGAGAUACGGCCCAGACUCCUACGGGAGGCAGCAGUGGGGAAUAUUGCACAAUGGGCGGAAGCCUGAUGCAGCAACGCCGCGUGCGGGAUGACGGCCUUCGGGUUGUAAACCGCUUUCGCCUGUGACGAAGCGUGAGUGACGGUAAUGGGUAAAGAAGCACCGGCUAACUACGUG